GACGAACGCUGGCGGCGUGCUUAACACAUGCAAGUCGAACGGAAAGGCUCCAGCUUGCUGGAGUACUCGAGUGGCGAACGGGUGAGUAACACGUGGGUAAUCUGCCCUGCACUCUGGGAUAAGCCUGGGAAACUGGGUCUAAUACUGGAUAUGACCUUUCUCCUUAUGGGGUUUGGUGGAAAGUUUUUCGGUGUAGGAUGAGCCCGCGGCCUAUCAGCUUGUUGGUGGGGUGAUGGCCUACCAAGGCGACGACGGGUAGCCGGCCUGAGAGGGUGAUCGGCCACAUUGGGACUGAGUUACGGCCCAGACUCCUACGGGAGGCAGCAGUGGGGAAUAUUGCACAAUGGGCGGAAGCCGGAUGCAGCGACGCCGCGUGAGGGAUGACGGCCUUCGGGUUGUAAACCUCUUUCAGCAGGGACGAAGCGUAAGUGACGGUACCUGCAGAAGAAGCACCGGCUAACUAUGUG
rnacentral:rRNA from 1 species